rnacentral:lncRNA from 1 species
GCCGUUUCACUUUUUGUCAAAUGUAUAUGUAUGUACUUAUUUUUCUUUUUUAAAAGGUUUGAGACAGGGUCUCACUCUGUCACCCAGGCUGGAGUACAGUGGCUCGACCUCAGCUCACUACAACCUCUGCCUCCUGGGCUCAAUCAAUCUUCCCACAUCAGCCUCGUAGGCUCCAGAGAGAGACAAGGAGAUGAGGAGACAAGCAGACGAACAGCGGAACAAUGCAGCAGAGAAAGAGAGAAGAGAAGGAACGUCUGAACGUCGAGAGGAGUUCGGCUGCUGGACGGCCAAACUCCAGGGGAAGAUCAUCUUCCCACUCCAUUCCCCCUCCAGCUCCCCAUCCAUCCCACUGAGAGCCACUUCCACCACUCAAUAAAAGCCCCACAUUUAUCCUUCAAGUCCAUGUGUGAUCCAAUUCUUCUGGGAUGCUAAACAAGAACCUGGGAUACAGAAAGCUGUCACACUGGCCCUCUGCCCUUGCAGAAAGGCAGAGGGGCCCUGAGCUGGUUGAUACUUAAGCUGUCUGUGGAUGGCAGAACUAAAAGAGCAUUGG